rnacentral:tRNA from 1 species
AGAAAUAUGUCUGACAAUAGAAUUACUUUGAUAGAGUAAAACAUAGAGGUGCGAACCCUCUUAUUUCUA